UAGAAUUUGGUUUUAUGCAGUCCCAAUUAUGUUUUCUGAUUAAUUAAUUAAAUAAAUUAUAUUGUUGAAAAUAAAUAAAAAUUGAAAUGAAAUAAAUUAUUUUAAUUUAAAGUUACAAAACAAAUAGUUGAGUUUUUCUUUUUAUUUUCGAGAGCAGUCACUUAGAAAGAAAAAAAAAAUAGAAAAAAGUGAUCUUGAAUGAAGCUACUUAGAGGACAGUGUUUUGAAUAAAUUAAAAGCGUCACAUGGCGCCAGACACUGAGCAUCACCUGACAAUUUCAAAUAUUUGACGGAUCGUUCUCUAAUAUUUGAAGAUCCAUGAUUUCCUAAAUGAACUCAUUUCGUACUUCAUUUCCUCUUGGAAAUUCAGAGAACUAUUAAAUUACAAACCUUAAGAAAUGAAUAUUAAUUUAAAAAAAAAAGAUUGAUAGUAAAAGCGAUAAACAAUCCAAUAAUGGACAUUUUAUGUUAAUUCAAUGGAAUAUUAACAGAGAAAAAAAGAAUCAAUUAUUUUUCAUGGAAUUUUCACAACUUGAUUUAUGUAAAUGAAUAAAGUGGUUGUUCCACACAUGGGUUGGCGUAAAAAAAUAUCAACAAUAAACAAGCUGCUUAACAUGAUUUCGUCGUUAGCCAUUACCACAAGUAAAUAACUCGGUGCUGUCACUCUCAUACGAGCUAUGAUUCCAAGAAGAAGAGUGAUCGGAGACAAGCUGGAUCACAUCUUGGCAGUGAUGAUGAUAAAGAUGAACCAGGAGCACAGCAAUAGAUCUCCAGAACUUUAUUGAUGAUAUUUUUCUGUUCAGUGGUGAUAAAUUUGUGAUAAACCUCCUAGAUCUCUUUGGCUUAGAAUGCUUUUCUACCAACAGACUGGAACAGUUGAUUGUGAAUACAAUGAAUGAACAGCUACAGUGUUAUUAUAAUCAACGAGUCUUUGAUUGGGAGAUGGUAAGCCUCUGCAAGUGAGGUAGAAGUACCAGUAGUACUUCUACCUCACGUUGAAGAGCAGUUGAACUGAAAAGGUAGCAGUGAAAAUAAAUAGAAGAAAGUGCACGCAUGACUGAUCGACUUCAGUGAUGACCAGGACGUCCAGAAGAAGAACAGUCAGUCGUCGAUAGAUGGACGGAUAUUUCAAAUCCGCAUCAAAUAAAACUGUUAUAAUAAACACUGCUGUGAAAUGAUUUUUUUUUAAUUUUCAUUGAAAAUAUUAGGCUGUUUAUUCAUUGGAGACUUUGCUUUAUUUUUCAAUAUAUUUGCUGCUAUCAAAUUAAUCAGCAGCAAUUAGUUACUUCUGAUAAAAUGUUAAUAAUAAAUAAUGAAACAAUAUGUCAAAAAGUAUGAUAAGAAUUUGUUGAAACAUAUAAUGAGGUAGUUUAUUUGAAUCCACAUGGAACAAAGUGGGUACUGAGAGAUUAGAAAAGAGUCUCUCAUCAGGAAUGCAUUAUUAAGGCAUUCCUGGCGUAACAUAGAUGCUUUGUUACCCUUCGACAUACGAGAAUUGAAGUUUCAUCCCAUGUUCAACCACGACGUUCUCAUAACUUUCAAACUCUCUGACUACAUUUUGCUCGGCUGCCAUGAAAUCGUUUGAAUUACCGCAAGCUACUACGUAGUAAUAUCGGCAUUCUUAUUCUGCCAUUUUUUUUUCUACAUAAGGUUGAUGAAAUUUCGAGGAAAGUAGCGAAAUAAUUACCGGAGCCUAAAUUGUUGUUUCAAAUAUGUGGAUCAAGUUGGUAUGCUUGUGUCGCAAGUCUUGUCUAGACUAAUUUAUGGCAAUUAAUAUUGCAAGUAGAAAUACUUUGAUCACUACCUUCCAAUAAUACACUGAGAAAAAAAUUUACUGUGAACUAGAAUGAUUAAGCUAAACAAUUUAUUUAAUGAAUAAUUAUUAUCUCAAAUAAUUAAACAUCAUUUGUAUUUAGACUUAGUAUUGAACCAAGUGACAAGAUACCUUUUCCAAUCAAAAUAUCAUUCAAUCAAAUCAAAUAUUUUUUUUAAAAAUGAUAUAAAAAUAAUAUUAUCAUAAUUUAUUGACUAAAUAAGCUGAAGAAAAUGAGGAAAGUAUAAUUUUAAAAUGAAUCACAAGUUUGCACACAUUAAUGUUAACCAAAUAAAUGAUUUCCUGCUUGUCAGACACACGACAAAUUUUUUGGAGGUAACGAAAAUGGGAUACUGGAGAUUGCGUGGGGCCCAAGACCAAAGUACAUGAUAUAAAUAUUCAUGUGUAAAUAUCAAGAUAUCAUAUAAAUGAUAGUUGAGCUCCGAAUUGAACGUAGCGAUUGCUUUCAAUUAACUUUCAACUACCUAAUUACUAUACAUGGAUGUUUAACCAAAUGGAUGCUGCUGAUUACCAUGAUCGUUGCGUAUAUCUUAAUUGUUAUGAGUUUUUCGUGUUCUUGCAUUUAAGCCACCAGAGCCUCCAGGCUUGGUCCUGGUCUAUGAUACCACCUCAUGUCUGGACUUUUAUCCAAUACCAUACAUCUAUAUUUAGAUAUCUGUAAAUAAUCAUUUAAAUUGUAUUUUCAAAUCCAAUGUAACAAUUUCAUUCUGAAUAUUAUUUAUC